AUUUAUGAUCCAUUGAGAAAGAAUAAGGUUGCUCUUAUUCUUCAAUUUACUCCGGGGUUCCUGGUUCUUUCCUUAUGUUUCUGUCUUUCUGUUUGUUUCCCAUAUAUGUGUAUUAUAUUCUACUGAAACCUGAAAGGUCUUCUCUUUUCUGUGUCUAGAAAUCAUCUUGCUGAGACUCUACAGAAAUAGUUCUUAUUACAUAAUGUAACUACAGUUGUAUGGCCAAAUCAGUGUUUAGCUGUGACUUCGUGGUUCAGUUCUCAAUUCUUCUUUAUGACAUCUUCACAGUGACAUAAAUAAUGUAGUCAAAAUGCCUUCUUAGUUCUCUUGUUCUAAUACAAGCCCAGUGCACUCUCCGGAAUCAUCAACCUGAUGAGAAAACUGAGUGCAAGUCAAACUUGUGCAAAAGCAAUACUUGGAAUGCUGGGGAAAGUUGCUGGCUGUUUUAGAAACAAUAGAAGAUUUUGAAAGACCAGAAGUCCUGUGAUAAAGAAGGCCAGAACAGUCAACUUUCACACACCAGACCAUGGAGAAAGAGCCUGGAGAAAGUGGAGAAGGAAUGAUCGUUCAUUGACAUUUCCCAUGCAAAAUGGCAAAUGAAAUGCAAGGGCAAUGGGUUCAAGACAAGUUGAAGGAAGUGGCUCUUUGCACAACAAAAUACACUGACCUGUGACACAACAAAAUGCACUGACCUGUGACACGUUGUCAACGUAAAUUCAUAUGGAUUCAGAAAGUCACUGGACAAAUUAAAGAAGAAAAUUGCACCGAAGUCUGGUACAUGCAAUGGGUGACACCUCUGAA